rnacentral:rRNA from 1 species
CAGUUUAUACCGUAGCUUGCUACACCAUAGACUGUGAGUUGCGAACGGGUGAGUAACGCGUAGGUAACCUACCUAUUAGAGGGGGAUAACUAUUGGAAACGAUAGCUAAUACCGCAUAACAGUAUGUAAUACAUGUUAGAUGCUUGAAAGAUGCAAUUGCAUCGCUAGUAGAUGGACCUGCGUUGUAUUAGCUAGUAGGUAGGGUAAUGGCCUACCUAGGCAACGAUACAUAGCCGACCUGAGAGGGUGAUCGGCCACACUGGGACUGAGACACGGCCCAGACUCCUACGGGAGGCAGCAGUAGGGAAUCUUCGGCAAUGGGGGGAACCCUGACCGAGCAACGCCGCGUGAGUGAAGAAGGUUUUCGGAUCGUAAAGCUCUGUUGUUAAGGAA